GCUAACUCAGUGGUGGAUCUAAUUCAACCAAUAAUUAGUACCGGAAGUAAGGCUAUAAUUAUGAAGUAUAAUUUUCACAAAUUACACUGAGUACAGGUUGGUGACGAAUGUAUCUUGUUUUGUGGAGGGCCAUCAACAUUGGAGCUACUAUCAGUCAGGUGGUUCUAAAUGGUGCUAAGCUUGGAGAUUGAAUCAACUUGGUUCUAAAUGGUGCUAACUUGGAGAUUGAAUCAACUUGUAGCACUAUCCUUGCUUGACGACUAUGCUGCUG
rnacentral:lncRNA from 1 species